ACGGCAAUAUCAUGUUGAAAGCACCAGUUCUCGUCCGAUCACUGAAGUUAAGCGCCUUCUAGAAUUAAUCGUCCAUUUUUACCCUUCAGGAUGAAGAUCUCUAUUUUAUCC